CCUACGGGUGGCAGCAGUGGGGAAUAUUGGGCAAUGGGCGCAAGCCUGACCCAGCAACGCCGCGUGAAGGAAGAAGGCUCUCGGGUUGUAAACUUCUUUUAGGAGGGAAGCGAAGAAGACGGUACCUCUUGAAUAAGCCACGGCUAACUACGGGCCAGCAGCCGCGGUAAUACGUAGGUGGCAAGCGUUGUCCGGAUUUACGGGGUGUAAAGGGUGUGUAGCCGGGAAGUCACGUCAGAUGUGAAAGCCCGCGGCUCAACCGCGGACCUGCAUUUGAAACUGGUUUUCUGGAGUAGCGGAGAGGUCAUCGGAAUUCCUGGUGUAGCAGUGAAAUGCGUAGAUAUAAGGAAGAACACCAGUGGCGAAGGCGAAUGACUGGACGGCAACUGACGGUGAGGCGCGAAAGCGUGGGGAGCAAACAGGAUUAGAUACCCGUGUAGUC
rnacentral:rRNA from 1 species